rnacentral:rRNA from 1 species
AUUGAAUGCUGGCGGCAUGCCUUACACAUGCAAGUCGAACGGCAGCACGGGAGCAAUCCUGGUGGCGAGUGGCGAACGGGUGAGUAAAGUAUCGGAACGUGCCCAGUCGUGGGGGAUAACGUAGCGAAAGUUACGCUAAUACCGCAUACGAUCUAUGGAUGAAAGCGGGGGAUCGCAAGACCUCGCGCGAUUGGAGCGGCCGAUAUCAGAUUAGGUAGUUGGUGGGGUAAAGGCUCACCAAGCCGACGAUCUGUAGCUGGUCUGAGAGGACGACCGGACACACUGGGACUGAGACACGGCCCAGACUCCUACGGGAGGCAGCAGUGGGGAAUUUUGGACAAUGGGCGCAAGCCUGAUCCAGCCAUGCCGCGUGCAGGAUGAAGGCCUUCGGGUUGUAAACUGCUUUUGUACGGAACGAAAAGGUUUGACUUAAUACGUUGGACUCAUGACGGUACCGUAAGAAUAAGCACCGGCUAACUACGUGCCAGCCGCCGCCGUAA